UACGGAGGGUGCAAACGUUGCUCGGAAUUACUGGGCGUAAAGCGCACGUAGGCGGCUUUGUAAGUUAGAGGUGAAAGCCCGGGGCUCAACUCCGGAACUGCCUUUAAGACUGCAUCGCUUGAAUCCAGGAGAGGUGAGUGGAAUUCCGAGUGUAGAGGUGAAAUUCGUAGAUAUUCGGAAGAACACCAGUGGCGAAGGCGGCUCACUGGACUGGUAUUGACGCUGAAGAGCGAAAGCGUGGGGAGCAAACAGG
rnacentral:rRNA from 1 species